rnacentral:snRNA from 1 species
AUCGCUUCUCGGCCUUUUGGCUAAGAUCAAGUGUAAAAAAAAAAAGAGAUAUGGAAAAGUAGACAGGAUUCUUAAAGCUUUAUUUCUGAUGUUAAGCUUUUGUUUUGAGUACAUUUAAAGUUAUAGACUUUGGGGCUGAGGAUUUGGCUCAGUGGUUCCGCCACCUGCCUCACAAGCACA